CAGUACUCGCAAGAUACAAAAAUGGAAGCAGCCACACUGGGCAUUGUGUGUGUGAGGAUUCCUACUAUAUACAGUAGCAGCAGAUUUGUUCUUGAUAAGAAGCCUGAAAGAUUCCAGACUGGUCCUUUAUCUUGCUUUAGUUCCAGUUCUUUUUCUUCAACUCUGGUGCCUCUUGGUACUGCGAUAUGAAUAAAUUGUAUGCUUCAGUUUUCGACAACUGUGAUAUCUGGCGUGUUGUGUUCCAAAUGAUGAUCCGUCUGUAUUCGAAAGUCCCACAAGAUCUUCACCUUCUCAUU